rnacentral:pre_miRNA from 1 species
AGUGGAGUUGCUGGAUCAUAUGGUAAUGAUAUGUUUCACUGUUUGAGGAAUUGUACUGUUUUCCAACUGUGGCUGUACCAUUUUGCACUCCUACCAACAGU